rnacentral:tRNA from 1 species
AAGAAAUUAGUUAAUACCUAUAACAUUGACUUGUCAUGUCAAAAUUAUCUUAAAGAUAUUUCUUA